rnacentral:rRNA from 1 species
UACGUAGGGCGCAAGCGUUAUCCGGAAUUAUUGGGCGUAAAGAGCUCGUAGGCGGUUUGUCGCGUCUGCUGUGAAAACUCAGGGCUUAACCCUGAGCCUGCAGUGGGUACGGGCAGACUAGAGUGUGGUAGGGGAGAUCGGAAUUCCUGGUGUAGCGGUGGAAUGCGCAGAUAUCAGGAGGAACACCGGUGGCGAAGGCGGAUCUCUGGGCCAUAACUGACGCUGGAGGAGCGAAAGCAUGGGGAGCAAACAGGA